rnacentral:rRNA from 1 species
CCUACGGGAGGCAGCAGUGAGGAAUAUUGGACAAUGGGCGCGAGCCUGAACGAGCAAAGUAGCGUGAAGGAUGACUGGCCUACGGGUUGUAAGCUUCUUUUAUAAAGGAAUCCAGUGAGGCACGUGUGCCUUUUUGCAUGUACUUUAUGAAAAAGGAUCGGCUAACUCCGUGCCAGCAGCAGCGGUAAUACGGAGGAUCCGAGGGUUAUCCGGAUUUAUUGGGUUUAACGGGAGCGGAGACGGGUUGUUAAGUCAGUUGUGAAAGUUUGCGGUGCAACCGAAAAAUUGCAUUUGAUCAUGGGAGUCUUGAGUGCAGAUGAGGUAAGCGGAAUUCGUGGUGUAGCGGUGAAAUGCGUAGAUAUAACGAAGAACACCGAUUGCGAAGGCAGCUGACUAGACUGCCACUGACGUUGAUGCUCGAAAGUGUGGGUAUCAAACAGGAUUAGAUACCCCAGUAGUC